rnacentral:snRNA from 1 species
ACCUCCAAAAAGAUUCCUCCUC